ACACACACACACACACACACACACACACACACACACACACACACACACACACACACACACACACACACACACACACACACACAGCGAGUGGGAGAGCGUGUGAAAUGUGCUCGUCCCCGCCUCUCAGAGAGCACAGGAAGUGUGAGACAAUGCAGAGGCUUCAUGCCGGGUUCAACUCUAAACUGUUCCUCUCCGCGGCACGGCGUCUCAGCAGCCCGGCCGCAGCGCGCCGCAUAACAUAUCCGCUACGCUACGAUAUUUAUAACUCCGGGAAGCUGCAGCUCUCUCCACUACUACUAACAAACACACUCAUAAGCGCAGCACACACAUGCUGGCGCACGUGCAUGCUAACGCUAAUGCACGAGGACGCUAGCUCACACUUCAACGAACGCCCUAGUGUAGGCCUACGAUGUGCCGAUAUGUAUUGGGAGACGACAGAAAAAUAUCUAAUCAAUAGAUAUUUCCCUCGAUCUGUCCUAUCCCGAUUUUACUUCACGGCAGUAUUUGAGGUCAUUCGGACGAUAGACAACAGUGUCACGGACAACAGUCAAGAAUCAAAAGAACAAGAAUCAAAAGAUACGAUGUACAUUCAAGUGAUGAAAAUAUAAGCAAAUGUCAAACACAAAGAACGAGUCUGUAGUGUGCGGAUAUGUGUGCCCUUUCUGGACAGCUGUGGAAUUUAAUGAUGGCUGUUCUUCUCAAGCUAACUCUACGUUUAAUGUGGAUUAUAUGUGGAGCUACUUCUGAGCAGCGGUUUAUUCUGAUGCCUGAGUGAGGGUUUAGCGCAGUAUAACAGUAUAAAAUACAACAAUGCUCAUUAUAAUCAACGCUUAUACACAACGACGAAAGUAAAUAGUAGUUGGUGUUGGACGUAACACGCCCCCCUCAUUCCUAAGAAGUAUAAAUAGACUUAUGUAUGUGUCGUAAUCGAGAUAUAAAAUUACCCAUAUCGUGAAGAAGUCAAUAAAAUACAUGCGCAGGCUGACACACACACACACGCACGCACACACACACACACACACACACACACACACACACACACACACACACACACACACACACACACACACACACACACACACACACACACACACACACACACACACACACACACACACACACACACACACACACACACACAGGUGUAAAGACGUCUCACACGUAGACGUUGGCACUGCCACCCAGGAAAGCGUUUAUCAGAUCCCGUGGUGAGCCGUCUGCUGCCAAGUCAGUGUGAGACGGCUUGUGACCGCACGACAUUGCACAACGCUACACUACGCUACAAACACUUUUCAGGUGUGAAAUGCGACAAGGGCGUGGGUGCUGGUGGAGGUGGCAAUAGAUUUAGGUUUGUGGUUGGGUUUUUACAACCACUGAAAAGUCGCUCAGGAUAGCGGGGAUUGUUGUUUGUUGUGGCCUUUGUUUUUCUUUUUGACAUUCAGCUAUCGCCGCUUCGUCAAAACGUCUCUUGAGAUGGGCGAUGACUCAUGGACUGCUGCUUGUCACCGUGCAGCACGUCAAAAUGUCAACACGUUGAUCAAAAUUCCACUGGUAACAAAGAACACACGUGUUGAAUCAGCCUCGAUUCAAAUCCUCUGAGAAACAGCCUGAAAUUUCUCAGAACUUAGAAAAGAAAGAAAUACCCAAAAGACCAGCAAAACAAAACAGAGAACAACAGAAGGGAGAGGCUAGGUGUGUGUGGACGGAGAUGACUAAUGGAAAAAAAGGCCUAGAUAAUCCCUCUCUCCGACACGAGCCACUAUCAAACCCGAGAGCCACUAUCAAACCCAUGAGCCACAACGCCUGCUCUAGGGGAGAGACGCCCAAGGUUCACAACCUUAUCUAUAAACAGGUCCCAGGGAAAAAUGUGGACAAUGUGACUGUUGAAACAGGUCAACAAGGUUUAAGUGGCUCAAAUUUAUAUCUGUAAACAGUGGCCCAAUUCACACAAGCAGUAGACUCAAGCACAAGGAUGGACUCAGGUCCAAGAAGACUUUUAAGUGCUCUUUUUUCCGAUAUUGUUGCAAUAAGCACAGAGACAAAAUAUACAAAUGGCCUGUGAUAUUGUUCAAUGUCACAUUAUAUUGCAUUAGUGUCCAACCCGAGCCUGGUUUAUUUUGUGGUUAUUAUCUGGGUUGAACCUUUAACCAUAGGAGACAAAUGUUCAAUAAGCACCCAGAUGAUUUAAAGUACAUUGAAGCCUCUUAAGAACAUAAUACCCCUAUUAUUAUGUAUUACAACUAAAGAAGUUUUGGAACUAAAGUAAGAUGGGAUCAUAAAAAAGUACUUGCGGUAUUCAUUUAGGCCUAAAAUAAUCAGUACAAGAUAUAAACAAAAAUCAAAUCAACAUAUUUAUAUUGCCGCCAACCCAAAAAAACACGCGAAGCGCUAUGUGUGCGAGUAAAGAACAUAAUCAUAACAAGGCUACUUUCACACGCGACUCCCUGCUCCCCAACCUAACAAGUUGGUCAUUGUAAAGCUGCGAUGAAACACAUGUUUGGUUCAGCGACCCCCAUGCCAGUGACCCCGAGGAAUAUUAAACAAAAGCCCUGCUCACUUCCUGGUCGAAUUCCUUUUCAAGCGCUCCGGUAUGUUCUCCACAGUUUCAGACUGGAGACUAUUGGACUGUAGACAGACUGUUCGUUUUUUCUCUUUCUUUUUUAACAAAUGUUAGAGCAAGCAUUGUUGCAUUGUUUGUCAAAAUCUAUGUGAAUACAGUAGACUAUUGUGGUGCACAAAACAGCACAACGCAACAUCAGCUUUGAGAGUACGACUUAAUAUCUUAGAACUAUGUUUUAUAUUUUGUUUAGUUUUGCUUAAAGUUAAAAAAGACGUGGCACUCAUGAUUCAACGUUUUCCUUCCUACAACGUCAAUGUUUUCCUUGCACUCUCCAGUAUGACUCUCUGUCUCUCCAACACCAGAUAAACGUUACAGAUCUCUGCUGCUAUAGACCUCCAGAAAACAAAACACCCAAACCCAAGUCCAAAGCAGUCUGGUUGCUUUGAUCCUGAGAACCAACGCACCGUGAUAGAUUUGCCCGUCGUUUUAUUUUCAUACAUUUUAUGGCUUUCAACAACAACAGAAUCAUCAUGCGAAGGAAGUGAACAAACAGCUUCACGGUGCCUUCCUGAGGCACACAUCUGCCUCUCCAUCACGCCACACAGAUAUGAUGUGAGCGUUGGUCGGUUAAUCAUAGAGAUGGAUUCGACAGAACAAAGUUAACGGUGACAUGGGACUUGUUUUGAUGUGCCUUAUGAAACAACAAUGGCCGUCUGUGGAGCAGGAGGAAGCAGUCCCGUGUUCCAGUUUGAGCGUCUUGAGCAGUUGAGGAAAAACAUAUUUUUGCAAGCAUUUUGGAUGUUUUGGUUGGAGAAGUUGCCAAAGAGAAACAAGGUUGGUCUUGUGUAUUCAGGAAAAGUAGUGAGUCUGAGAAAUAAAUGGAUUGAAUCAGUCCAUAAGGGUUGUAAUGUUUAUAACUCGGCCCAACGCUUCAAUUGUUGGCCUUGUUUUUAACGUAUGGUUGCCUUAAAAAUGGCAAAUUUAAUGAGUUUAUAGGCCAGAUAUGAAUUCCCUGAAUGUGGAAUGCAAAUAAACAAGUUAUCCCUCCCAGAACCGUGACUCAGAUCUUUAGUAACGGAAAGGUGAGUCAAAAAGAGACACCGAGGCAACCACAGUAUAAAAACAACAAAAGCACUUCAAACAACUUCGCUCUUGUUUGGAUUGUUUGAAAGGGUGAAAAAUAAAUGGUAUUGUUGAGUCAGCCCACCACUGGGCCCAAGCUUAUUCUCUCUACUCUCCCUAAUGAUUAGCGGACAUGAAAGGGAACAGACAAUAGCCCCCCCACGCCACCUGUAACCAAAUACCUCUGCAUCACGUUGCAUUAUUCAACAGCCAUGAAAUUUCUCAGUGCGACCAUCUGCAUAGUUAUGUAUUGACAAGAACAAACCCGGGGUAAUAAGAUACAGCGCGCUAAGCUACAUUAAUGCCACUGCUGACCAGAACACCAAGCUAGCUGAGUCUCUCUCUCUCUCUCUCUCUCUCUCUCUCUCUCUCUCUCGUCUCAGAUGUCCAUCCUGUUUUUGCUUGUGUUGUCCACAGAGACACAGGGAGACAUUUCCUGUGUGAACCCACGCCCAGAAAUACUGUAAGCAACUGCUGAUCGUAUCGUCAGGGGGGGAGGGAGGGGGGGAUGACAAUUAUCCCAAACUAGUUUGAUGCCUCAGAUAUCUGUUGAUCUGCUGUGUACAACAGCAGCACAGGAAGUGUAUUAGAGGGUCGGGAAGCUCGGCACGUAGACUCUGUGGGAGUCUGGGGGGGUGGGGAGGAAGGGUACGUCGGGGGCUACACGUUUCUUUUUUUUUGCUGGGCCCCAUAGCAACAGGCCCUUCUGGCCAAAUACCCAGAAUGCUGUGUGUUUUGUAACAGAUAAACAAUGACUUUGUCACCCGCAGACGAUUUGUUUUAACAGAGGACCGCAGAAUUUACUGAUCUGAGAUCAUCUGCGCAGCUUAGAAAGACCAUCUUUAACCUUUUUCAGGAGUAGUCGCUCUCCUUAUCUCCUUAACCUGGGGGUCACGUUUCCGGUCUAUCCUUGUCCAAUCAUUGUUUAAUCCACUUUUCCACCAUUAAUACCCUUUAAAGUUGAGUUACACUUGUUUAACUUUAACUUGGUGAACUUUGCUGAAGUAUGUGUGUAAUUAGUCACAAGACAUGUUGCUGGGUCUACUAACAAUGUCUGAUAUUUACAUUAGAAACGCAUGUGACUGGGGAUGGAAUGCAUAGCAAUGGCAAUAUACAGCUUACAGGCCUGGAUAAAUACUCACACACACACACACAAUAUUAUCAUAUAUACAGUAUAAACACAGUAUAUAUAUACUGUAUAUAGAUAAUAUUGUGUGUGUGAGUGUGUAUAUAUAUAUAUAAAUAUACAGUAUAUAUAUACUGUAUAUAUGUAUACAUACAUAUAUACAUACAUGUAAAAAUAUAUAUUAUAUAUAAAACACACAGGUCACCCACACACAUACAUACAUAGGCCUACAUACAUACAUAAACACAUAUACAUAUAUAUAAGAUGACGUAAUCCAGGCCUGAUGGCAGCUUAACAGUAUUUAUAGUGUCAGCCGCUGGCGCUGCACAGUUGGAAAAAUGAAGUGAAUGGAAUAUACUGUGUGGAAUUGGCUCUCAUGGCUAGCAAAAAAAAAAAGGAAGAACAUCGUAUUUUGCCGCUGAUACAUUCUUUUCACUUUUUUUUAUUCACUGCCGCAUCUUAAAAGGGCCAUUUGCACCAUGGGCUACCCUCUUUAUUUUACAAGUUAACAUUGAAGACUUUACAGCCUAUGCCUCCUCACCAUGCACAGCCGUAAGAUGAGCUCAACAGCUACAAGUCCCCUUAUAACACAACUGUACCUGAUGUCUUACACAGCUGCUCACCGUUUUGGACGAAAACGGCCAGAAAACCAAACCAAAAAGGUUUUCAUUAGUUAAAUGAAAAAUAUAUCAGCAGGGAACCUCCACAGUGGUGGUGUGAUCAGUGAGAGGGCUGUUCCCAGGCCUGUCCCGUGUGGAGCAUCGCUGCCCAGUGUGUGUGUGUGUGUGUGUGUGUGUGUGUGUCCACAAUAAAACCCAACGGGACAUUUGGUAUCAAAUUGCAACAACACGAGUGGAACUAUGGUGUAUUGAUACAAUGAUAGGACUAACUUAAUAAGCCAACUUCUCAAUAAUAUCACAAAAAAUGUUAGAAUUGAGAGUCUCGCGCAGAUGCCGAUGCUUUCUGGUACGAUACACAGUCGACUUUUUAGUUGGACAUUUUACUGUUGAUAAUGAAACGACCAAAAGUUCCAAAGUUGUUUUGAGUAUUAAUAAUCGCCUUUACUCACCAACACUUUCCUGACCACUAUGUCGAAGUUCAUGUUGGAACUCCGCGAUCAGAGGAAAUCCACAGCCGUUGGAGUCGACCACCACCUGAAGUUUAGGAACAACUUCUUAUGAGGAGAAUCUGAUCUCAAUCCCGCAGUAGUCAACCGGGUCUUUCCAUGGGGUUUAGUAAAGGCAAUGUUGAUAGUUUAAAUCUCAGCAAGGAGCUCUCUCUCUCCGUCUGUUGGGAAGCAGCGACUCUUUCUGGGGGACUCAACUGAGAGGAAUUUCUCCAAGACUCUCAGUGAAUGACGUCGGUACCCUCGGUAGCCAAUCAUAGCGCGCCGGUCUG
ensembl:lncRNA